UAUCCUCCUUUUCUGUUACACGUUAUCAAACUGAAAUUAUGGUAGAAAUCUGCAUCUCUCUUCCACUUCAGAUCAGAAUAAUUAUCCUUUUCUGUUACCGUGCAAAUUAUCCCCUGCAAAAUAAGGAAACAAAAAAACAUUGAAUACCCUACAUACGUUACAAAGGUUAAACAAGUUCCGCAUACGUUACAAAUGUUCCCCUACAUAAACCCCAACAGACGUCCUCAUGUUACCAGACGCAUGCUCUCUCAACACUGCAAGGUUUGGCUGUUUUUUUCGGAAAAAAGCUUAGGUUUUUUCUAUUCCAGUUUUUUGACUCCCAAUAUUGCAUCGAUGAGGGGAAGGGAUAUCAAGCUGAUUUUGAUAAAAGCAAAUCACUUGGGCAUCCAUGUUCAAAUUAGUAUAGGACAUUCAUAUACUCAGUUGCGGUAUCAAUAAAUUAUCACACCAUGAAAUGCUACUGGUCCUUUUGUUGGCCGAAACAAUCAGAAGAUACUAUGGAUCUAGCCAAAGCUAUGCAUGAUGUGGACAGCAUUGCUGAUAUGAUAGCGGCUUUGACAUCUCUACACAAAAGUAAAAUUAUUGCUCAGCUGCGAUAUCGAUGAAUUAUUACACCAUGAAAUGCUACCGGUCCUUUUGUUUCCUAUAAAGGUGUAGUUGCUGAUAUCCUAUGUAAGAUAGAUUUUGUGGGGAUCCAACUCAUAGUCAUUUGGCUAUGCCUUAGAAGAGGGAACAAAUAUAGCUACUCUUCGAGGAUGUCAAGGAUAUCUGAUGGUUCAAGAAGUUAGAGUUGGAAACAGACUUUUCAGCUUGAAUCUGUGUCAAUUACUAUAGGCAAUCAGGCAUUGUGUUUCUAACAUCUCUAUUCAUCUUGGAUUGAUAUUAGUUGAGAUGGUCAUUUAUCUUGCUUUAGCUAGCUACAUGGUUCUUAGUGCUAAAUUAUAUUUAAGUAUUAUUAUGUUUGCAGAAUUUUCAUAGAAGCUCUAUUUUUGACAGGUGAGAAAGCUAGAGAUCUGUCUGAUGAUGUGGUGUCAGUUGCCCAUUGGAGUUGCUUAUGUAAUGACACUUACUAGAUCUGAAAGAAAAUCAGUCAGGACUCAGGUUUGUCGGUGUUCUUGGUGAAAUAAAAUAUUUCCCAAAAAAAUAUGGGAUGACUCUACUUAGAGAAAGUUGUAUGCGUGAUACAUUAGCAGGCUACACCACCCUUUAUUGUAGGUCUCAGUUUCCUUUAUCCUAUCUACAUGAAGCUGCUAAUCUUUCUGGAUUCAUCCGGAAUCUAAUAUAAUUGUAUGAUGAUUACCAUCUGCAUUCAUGGAGGUACAAAUAAUGUCUUUAAUCUGUUUAAUGUUUAUGCAAAUGUGCAUACUUCAGCUUAAAUGCCAGGAUAAAAUGUAAAACCUCGAUAAGUCGCUCCUUCUGAACAAAGCAGUGGUGCGAGGUGGUUAGGACCGACCACAUUUUUUCAAGAAUAUAAAUUGCAGACACCCCGUCAGUUUUUCUAACUGUUUCCUAAUUAAGUUGGCUGCCACAGGACACACUAAAGGUCUUUGUGCAUUAAGUUGGAGUGUUGAUGGCGGUGAGUAUAGAUAAUAUGAAUAAAAAUGGAACAC